rnacentral:tRNA from 1 species
GGAGAGGUGGGUGAGCGGCUGAAACCGACGGUUUGCUAAACCGUUCUAGGGCGUAAAGCCUUAGCGAGGGUUCGAAUCCCUCCCUCUCCG